rnacentral:tmRNA from 1 species
GGGGGUGUUACGGUUUCGACUAGGAAGUGAAAAAUUGAUUGCAUGCGGAGGAUAUCGGUUGGCCUCCUAAAAAAACCGGUAAAACAAUAAAUGCAGACAAAAUCGUCCGCUUCGACUUCAGCCCAGUUGCUGAGCUCGAAUUAGCUGCAGCUUAAGAUUUAAUUAUCUUAGUUGCCCGAUAGCCUGAGAUUGGACCAAGGGUCUUAGAAUCUAUCGUCAUUUUCUUGGUAUGAAAUGUCUUUUCCGCCGCUUCUAGGGAAGAGAUUUCGAGACUAAAUGAAGCAAACUAAUCUUAUUGGCGCGUUCUACAUUGAGAUUAGGGAUUUGAAAGAACGAUAAGCAUGUAGUAGUCAGUUCGUAAUUUGCCAAGGACGAGAGUUCAAUUCUCUCCACCUCCAACA